UGGCUCAGAGCGAACGCUGGCGGCAGGCCUAACACAUGCAAGUCGAACGAACUCUUCGGAGUUAGUGGCGGACGGGUGAGUAACACGUGGGAACGUGCCUUUAGGUUCGGAAUAACUCAGGGAAACUUGUGCUAAUACCGAAUGUGCCCUUCGGGGGAAAGAUUUAUCGCCUUUAGAGCGGCCCGCGUCUGAUUAGCUAGUUGGUGAGGUAAAGGCUCACCAAGGCAACGAUCAGUAGCUGGUCUGAGAGGAUGACCAGCCACAUUGGAACUGAGACACGGCCCAAACUCCUACGGGAGGCAGCAGUGGGGAAUCUUGCGCAAUGGGCGAAAGCCUGACGCAGCCGUGCCGCGUGGAUGAUGAAGGUCUUAGGAUUGUAAAAUCCUUUCACCGGUGAAGAUAAUGACUGUAGCCGGAAAAGAAGCCCCGGCUAACUUCGUG
rnacentral:rRNA from 1 species